rnacentral:rRNA from 1 species
UACGGAGGGUGCAAGCGUUAUCCGGAUUCACUGGGUUUAAAGGGUGCGUAGGUGGGUCUGUAAGUCAGUGGUGAAAUCUCCAAGCUUAACUUGGAACUGCCGUUGAUACUAUAGAUCUUGAAUGUUGUGGAGGUGAGCGGAAUAUGUCAUGUAGCGGUGAAAUGCUUAGAUAUGACAUAGAACACCAAUUGCGAAGGCAGCUCACUACACAAAUAUUGACACUGAGGCACGAAAAGCGUGGGGAUCAAACAGG